rnacentral:rRNA from 1 species
AGCGCACUCCUACGGGAGCAGCAGUAGGGAAUUUUCGUCAAUGGGCGCAAGCCUGAACGAGCGAUGCCGCGUGAGUGAAGAAGGCCUUCGGGUCGUAAAGCUCUGUUGCGGGGGAAAAAAGGCAGCAUCAGGAAAUGGGUGCUGACUGAUGGUGCCCCGCCAGAAAGUCACGGCUAACUACGUGCC